rnacentral:rRNA from 1 species
UACGUAGGGGGCAAGCGUUGUCCGGAUUUACUGGGCGUAAAGGGCGCGUAGGCGGCGCGGUAAGUCACUUGUGAAAUCUCUGAGCUUAACUCAGAACGGCCAAGUGAUACUGCAGUGCUAGAGUGCAGAAGGGGCAAUCGGAAUUCUUGGUGUAGCGGUGAAAUGCGUAGAUAUCAGGAGGAACACCGGUGGCGAAGGCGGGUCUCUGGGCCGAUACUGACGCUGAGGAGCGAAAGCGUGGGGAGCGAACAGG